rnacentral:rRNA from 1 species
GACGAACGCUGGCGGCGUGCUUAACACAUGCAAGUCGAGCGGAAAGGCCCUUCGGGGUACUCGAGCGGCGAACGGGUGAGUAACACGUGAGUAAUCUGCCCCCUACUUUGGGAUAACCCUCGGAAACGGGUGCUAAUACCGGAUAUGACCAUGUCGCGCAUGUGGUGUGGUGGAAAGUUUUUCGGUGGGGGAUGUGCUCGCGGCCUAUCAGCUUGUUGGUGGGGUAAUGGCCUACCAAGGCUUUGACGGGUAGCCGGCCUGAGAGGGUGACCGGCCACACUGGGACUGAGACACGGCCCAGACUCCUACGGGAGGCAGCAGUGGGGAAUAUUGGACAAUGGGCGGAAGCCUGAUCCAGCAACGCCGCGUGAGGGAUGACGGCCUUCGGGUUGUAAACCUCUUUCAGCACCGACGAAGCGAAAGUGACGGUAGGUGCAGAAGAAGGACCGGCC